rnacentral:rRNA from 1 species
AUGGACGCCGGCCAGCUCUUCUCCGUCGACCCCCUAGAGCGCCAGGCCGCGAGGGGCCACGGGGCCGUCACCUCUAUGGCCGCUGGCAGUGAUGUCAUUGUCCUUGGCACCUCCCGUGGCUGGCUCGUCCGCCACGACUUCUCCUUUGAGGACGCCCUGGAUAUCGACCUCGGGGGCGGCCGCUCCGGCGACCAUACAGUGCACCGGGUUUUCCUGGACCCCGGUGGCAAGCACUGUGUUGUCACGGUGAUCCACCCGGGUGGCGCAGAGACAUACUACCACCAUGCCAGGUGGCCGCGCCCAAAGCCACUCCCCCGCCUCCGUGGCCUCCUCGUCAAUGCUGUCGCCUGGAAUCGCCAAGCCAUCACCGAAGCGUCAACCAAGGAGGUGAUCCUGGGGACCGAGGCUGGACAGAUCUUUGAGAUGGCCGUGGACGAGGCUGAUAAGAAGGAGAAGUAUGUGAAGUUGCUCUUCGAGCUCACCGAGCUGCGAGAGGGCAUCAAGGACCUGCAGAUGGAGACAGCUGUGGUUGGGAAUGCCACGAGAUACUAUGUGAUGGCUGUCACACCCACACGGCUUUACUCGUUCACCGGCAUUGGUUCUUUGGAAACUGUUUUUGCUAGCUAUACCGACCGUGCCAUUCACUUCAUGGAGCUCCCAGGAGAAAUACCUAAUAGUGAACUACACUUCUUUAUCAAGCAAAGAAGGGCUAAACACUUUGGAUGGCUUUCUGGAGCUGGAAUUUAUUACGGUGAACUCAAUUUUGGAGCUCAACACAGCUCUACGAGUGGAGAUGAAAACUUUGUGGAAAACAAAGGUUUCUUUGACUAUUCAAAACUUGGAGAUUCCAACAUAAAACCAUCAUCAUUUGCAGUGUCUGAGUUCCAUUUUCUGCUCUUGAUUGAAGACAAAAUUAAGGUAGUGAACAGAAUCAGUCAGCAAAUUGUGGAGGAGCUUGUAGUUGAUAAUACACCCGAAUCUUCAAAAGGAAUCAUCGGGCUUUGUAGUGAUGCAUCAACUGGAGUUUUCUAUGCAUUUGAUGAAACCUCCAUAUUCCAGGUUUCUACGUCUGAUGAGGGUCGUGACAUGUGGCAAGUGUACUUGGAUAUGAAGGCAUAUGCUGUUGCUUUGUCCCAUUGCCUUAACCCUUUCCAGAGGGACCAAGUUUAUCUAGUGCAGGCUGAUGCUGCAUUUGCUGCAAAAGAAUAUUACAUAGCAGCUUCAUUUUAUGCAAAGAUGAACUAUAUUUUAUCAUUUGAAGAGAUCAGUUUAAAGUUUAUAUCCGUAGGUGAGCAGGAUGCUCUCAGGACUUUCUUAUUGAGAAGGCUUGAUAACCUCACCAAAGAUGACAAGAUGCAAAUAACAAUGAUCUCGACUUGGGCUACUGAGCUGUACUUAGAUAAGAUUAAUCGUCUCCUGUUGGAAGAUGGCACAGGCACCACUACAAAUACAGUAACAAAUUCCAAUAGCUCGGCAUAUCGUUCAGUAGUAGAUGAAUUCCGUGCGUUUCUCAGUGAUAGCAAAGAUGUAUUAGAUGAAGCAACAACAAUGAUACUGCUGGAAAGUUAUGGCAGAGUGGAUGAGCUGGUGUAUUUUGCUGGUUUGAAGGAGCAGUAUGAAAUUGUGGUUCAUCAUUACAUUCAGCAAGGAGAAGCAAGGAAAGCCUUGGAAGUGCUUCAACGACAUAAUGUUCCAGUAGACCUUGUGUAUAAAUUUGCCCCAGAUUUAAUCAUGUUAGAUGCUUACGAGACUGUCGAAUCGUGGAUGAUGGCCAGAAACAAGUUGAAUCCAGGGAAGCUUAUACCAGCGAUGAUGCGUUAUGUGAGCGAACCACAUGCCAAGAAUGAAACACAUGAGGUCAUUAAGUACUUGGAAUUUUGUGUCAAAGAUUUGAACAAUGAGGAUCCUGGAGUCCACAAUUUGUUGCUCUCAUUGUAUUCCAAGAAGGCGGAUGAGUCCCAGCUUUUACAAUUUCUCGACACCAAGUUUGGGAGUGGACAAGCAAAUGGACCUGAGUUCUUUUACGAACCCCAGUAUGCUCUGCGUCUAUGUCUCCAAGCAAAGAGGAUGCGUGCUUGUGUUCGUAUUUACAGCAUGAUGUCCAUGCAUGAGGAAGCUGUGGCACUUGCUUUGAGGGUGGACUUGGAGCUUGCAAAGGCAGAAGCAGACAAAGUUGAAGAUGAUGAAGAGCUUAGGAAGAAGCUGUGGCUUAAGGUUGCAAAGCAUGUCAUCGAGCAAGAGAAAGGAGUCAAGAGGGAGAACAUAAAGAAAGCUAUAGAAUUUCUAUCAGAAACUAACAACUUGCUGAAGAUUGAGGAUAUCUUGCCAUUUUUCCCAGACUUUGUAUUGAUUGACGACUUUAAAGAAGAAAUCUGCAAAUCUCUCAAGGACUAUAACAGCCAGAUUGAGCAACUGAAGGCCGAGAUGGAUGAUGCUACGCGUGGAGCAGACAACAUCAGAAGUGAUAUUGGUGCCCUUGCUCAGAGAUUCACAGUGAUUGAUCGCGAGGAGGAAUGUGGGGUAUGCCGGCGCAAAAUAUUGACUGUGGGAGGAUUGCACCAAGUAGGAAGAAGCUAUACGUCUGUUGGGCACAUGGCCCCCUUCUAUGUGUUUCCCUGCGGACACGCCUUCCACGCGAAUUGUUUGAUUGCCCAUGUAACUCGCUGCACCAGCCAAGUGCAAGCUGCGAGAAUACUGAACCUUCAGAAGCAGCUAAGCUUGAUGGACAGGAAAGCAGCAAAAGACAACGGCGGGACCGGGAACGGUGAAUCUACUGUCAGCAGCGCACCAACAGUCGACAAGCUGAGGUCACAGCUGGACGACGCCGUGGCGAGCGAGUGCCCCUUCUGCGGCGACCUGAUGAUCAAGGAGAUCUCGCUGCCUUUCAUUCUCCCUGGGGAGUCGGUUGAGAAGGCUUCAUGGGAGAUCAAGCCGCAACCGGCGUCUCAGAAGAUUCUUCCGAUGACCAUGUCGAUAUGA